ACGGUCCUAAGGUAGCGAAAUUCCUUGUCGGGUAAGUUCCGACCUGCACGAAUGGAGUAACGAUGGCCACACUGUCUCCUCUAGAGACUCAGCGAAGUUGAAAUGGUUGUGAAGAUGCAAUCUACCCGCGGUUAGACGGAAAGACCCCAUGAACCUUUACUAUAGCUUUACAUUGGACUUUGAUAACAUCUGUGUAGGAUAGGUGGGAGACUUUGAAGCAGGAUCGCUAGAUCUUGUGGAGUCACCCUUGAAAUACCACCCUGAUGUUGUUGAGGUUCUAACCCAGGUCCCUUAUCGGGAUCGGGAACCGUGUAUGGUGGGUAGUUUGACUGGGGCGGUCUCCUCCCAAAGAGUAACGGAGGAGUGCGAAGGUAACCUAGGCACGGUCGGAAAUCGUGCUGUUAGUGCAAUGGCAUAAGGUUGCUUGACUGCGAGACGGACAUGUCAAGCAGGUACGAAAGUAGGUCAUAGUGAUCCGGUGGUUCUGUAUGGAAGGGCCAUCGCUCAACGGAUAAAAGGUACUCCGGGGAUAACAGGCUGAUACCGCCCAAGAGUUCACAUCGACGGCGGUGUUUGGCACCUCGAUGUCGGCUCAUCACAUCCUGGGGCUGAAGCCGGUCCCAAGGGUAUGGCUGUUCGCCAUUUAAAGUGGUACGCGAGCUGGGUUUAGAACGUCGUGAGACAGUUCGGUCCCUAUCUGCUGUGGGCGUUUGGAGAUUUGAGGGAAGCUGAUUCUAGUACGAGAGGACCGAAUUGGACGAACCUCUGGUGUUCCGGUUGUCACGCCAGUGGCAUUGCCGGGUAGCUAUGUUCGGAAAGGAUAACCGCUGAAAGCAUAUAAGCGGGAAGCCUCUCCCAAGAUUAAAUCUCCCAGAGACUUUAUGUCUCCUAAAGAGUCGUCAUAGACUAUGACGUUGAUAGGCAAGAUGUGUAAGCGCUGCGAGGCGUUGAGCUAACUUGUACUAAUAACUCGUGAGGCUUGAUCAU
rnacentral:rRNA from 1 species